rnacentral:rRNA from 1 species
UGACGCUGGCGGCUGCUUACACAUGCCGAUUCAAAACGGAAACGAUGGGACGCUCCGCUCCCAGUUCGUCGAGUGGCGGACGGGUGAGUAAUACGUAGGAACCUGCCCUGUAGCGGGGUGAUAGCCCGGGGAAACCCGGAUUAAUACCGCAUACGCUCUAUGGAGGAAAGAAGGCCUCUGCUUGCAUGCUUUCACUAUAGGAUGGGCCUACGUCUGAUUAGCUUGUUGGUGGGGUAACGGCCUACCAAGGCGACGAUCAGUAGCUGGUCUGAGAGGAUGAUCAGCCACACCGGGACUGAGACACGGCCCGGACUCCUACGGGAGGCAGCAGUGGGGAAUAUUGGACAAUGGGCGAAAGCCUGAUCCAGCAAUGCCGCAGUGUGUGAAGAAGGCCUGCGGGUUGUAAAGCACUUUUAUUUGGGAAGAAACGCUCAGAGCUAAUACCUCUGAGAAUUGACGGUACCUUAAGAAUAAGCACCGGCUAACUCCGUGCCAGACAGCCGCGGUAAUACGGAGGGUGCAAGCGUUAAUCGGAAUUACUGGGCGUAAAGCGUGUGUAGAGUGGUCCAGUUAAGUCGGAUGUGAAAGCCCCGGGCUCAACACUGGGAAUUGACAUUCGAUACUGGCGGACUAGAGUUUUGGCAACGAGGACAGCGGAAUUCCGGGUGUAGCGGUGAACUGCGUCAGACUCUCCGCGAGGACCUCAGUAGGCGAAGGCGGGUUUCCGGGUUAAAACUGACACUGAGGCACGAAAGCUGGGAGCAACACGGUUUAGAUUCCCUGGUCAUCACGCCUAAAGAUUGUCA